rnacentral:tRNA from 1 species
GCCUGGGUGGCUCAGCAGUUUAGCGCCUGCCUUCAGCUCAGGGCAUGAUCCUGGAGUCCUGGGAUCAAGUCCCACCUCGGGCU